rnacentral:rRNA from 1 species
UGGGGAAUAUUGGACAAUGGGCGCAAGCCUGAUCCAGCCAUGCCGCGUGAGUGACGAGGGUCUUCGGAUUGUAAAGCUCUUUUUGGCGGGGACGAUAAUGACGGUACCCGCAGAAUAAGCCCCGGCUAACUUCGUGCCAGCAGCCGCGGUAAUACGAAGGGGGCUAGCGUUGUUCGGAAUCACUGGGCGUAAAGCGCACGUAGGCGGAUUUGUUAGUCAGGGGUGAAAUCCCGGGGCUCAACCUCGGAACUGCCUCUGAUACUGCAAAUCUCGAGUCCGAUAGAGGUGAGUGGAAUUCCUAGUGUAGAGGUGAAAUUCGUAGAUAUUAGGAAGAACACCAGUGGCGAAGGCGGCUCACUGGAUCGGUACUGACGCUGAGGUGCGAAAGCGUGGGGAGCAAACAGGAUUAGAUACCCCAGUAGUCCCUGAGCGGGCUGGCAAGGCGCAU